rnacentral:rRNA from 1 species
ACGUUGUUCGGAUUCACUGGGCGUAAAGGGCACGUAGGCGGCUCGGCAAAUCGGUCGUGGAAUCCCGACGCUUACCGUCGGAACGGCGGCCGAAAAUACCGGGCUCGAGGGCGUGAGGGGUCACUGGAACUCCUGGUGAAGCGGUGAAAUGCGUAGAUAUCAGGAGGAACGCCGGAGGCGAAAGCGAGUGACUGGCGCGUUCCUGACGCUGAGGUGCGAAAGCUAGGGGAGCAAACAGG